rnacentral:rRNA from 1 species
AUUGAACGCUGGCGGCAUGCUUUACACAUGCAAGUCGAACGGUAACAGGCCGCAAGGUGCUGACGAGUGGCGAACGGGUGAGUAAUGCAUCGGAACGUGCCCAGUCGUGGGGGAUAACGCAGCGAAAGCUGCGCUAAUACCGCAUACGAUCUAUGGAUGAAAGCGGGGGACCGUAAGGCCUCGCGCGAUUGGAGCGGCCGAUGUCAGGUUAGGUAGUUGGUGGGGUAAAGGCCUACCAAGCCAACGAUCUGUGGCUGGUCUGAGAGGACGACCAGCCACACGGGGACUGAGACACGGCCCAGACUCCUACGGGAGGCAGCAGUGGGGAAUUUUGGACAAUGGGCGCAAGCCUGAUCCAGCAAUGCCGCGUGCAGGAAGAAGGCCUUCGGGUUGUAAACUGCUUUAGUACGGAACGAAAAGGCUCUGGUUAAUACCUGGGGCUCAUGACGGUACCGUAAGAAUAAGCACCGGCUAACUACGUGCCAGCCGCCGCCGUAAAAC